UGGCCUUGUACUGUUGGAGCAAGGUCAGUGCAGUACAUGUUUACAGCAGUCAGCUGAGUGGUGACUAGUUCAUAGAAGUACUUGCUUUAUCAAGACUUGUAUGAACACUAGUGCUGGACAACAUCCCUCAGUGAAGGUGCCCCUAACUCGGCUGUUGUUGUCAGCAUGUUGAAGUAGAGCAGAAUGAGCAAAGCGUGGUGUGCUGACCCUGGUCGCUGGGGCACAGCAUCCUGCCCCCAUGUUGUCCAGGCUCCCACGGUUAUUGCCAUGGUCGGGCUGCCGGCUAGAGGCAAGACUUACAUCUCCAAGAAGCUGACACGCUACCUGAACUGGAUCGGAGUCAGUACGAAAGUGUUCAAUGUUGGAGAGUAUCGUCGUGCAGCUACCAACAAAUACCGCAGCCAUGACUUCUUCCGCCCAGACAACAAGGAGGCCCAGGAGAUACGAACGAAGUGUGCUUUACUGGCCAUGGAGGAUGCGUGCAAGUUCCUGGAGAACGGGGGAGAGGUUGGGGUGGUAGAUGCGACCAACACGACCCGUGAGAGGAGGAAGAUGCUCGUCAACAUGUUUACAGUGGAUCAUCAGUUCAAGCUGUUCUUUGUGGAGUCCAUCUGUGAUGAUCCCGAAGUGGUGGAGGCCAAUAUAAAGGAAGUGAAGGUGUGUAGCCCGGACUACAAGGGGAUGGACACCAACGAGGCUGUGAAGGAUUUCAUGCAGCGUAUAGAGCACUACAACGAGACAUACGAGCCCCUGGACUGGAGCCACGACAGAGACUUGUCAUUCAUACAGAUAUUCAAUCAAGGAGAGAGGUUCCUAGUCAACAAAUUAGCAGGUCAUCUACAGAGUAGAGUGGUGUAUUACCUAAUGAAUAUUCACGUUCUUCCUCGGACCAUCUACCUCACAAGGCAUGGAGAAAGCAUGAUGAACCUUCAAGGCCGGAUUGGAGGAGACAGCGAUAUAUCAGAGCGAGGCCAGACCUAUGCAGAAGCUCUGAAACGCUACAUUGAGAAGGAGAACAUUCCCAACCUGAAAGUGUGGACGUCCCAGAUGAAGAGGACAAUCCAGACUGCCAAGUUCAUUGAGGCGUCAAAGGAGCACUGGAAGGCCCUCAAUGAGAUAGAUGCGGGUAUCUGUGAAGGGAUGACCUACGAGGAGAUCCAGGAGAAAUACCCUGAGGAUUUUGCUCUGCGGGACCAAGACAAGUUCCAUUACCGCUACCCCAGUGGGGAGUCUUACCAAGACCUGGUUGCCCGCCUGGAACCUGUGAUACUGGAACUGGAGAGACAGGAAAAUGUGUUGGUUGUGUGUCACCAGGCUGUUGCCCGCUGUCUACUUGCUUACUUCCAGGACAAAUCGGCAGAACAUAUCCCUCACGUCCCUGUCCCGUUUGAGAAGGUCGUGAAAAUGAAAAUGAAGGGCCAUUGCUGCGAGUGCGAACACAUACCACUGCUCAGAGGAUCUGCCAUAUUUGAAGGUUCCGCUACAUACCGUGAUAAAGUUAACCCCGGUAGCCUAUGGUUGUAGAGUGGAGCUGAUCUCCUUGAACAUUGAAGCAGUGAACACUCACAGGGAGAAACCCAAGAUGUUUGAGUUCUGACUGGAUCAUCAUCAACUUCAUAUUUUGUCUUGCCUUCAUCUGUCGACGUCUGCAAGACUGUCCUAGCCAAUGGGUCCAUUAGCACCAUUGAGGCCACCACUUGCUCUUGCUUUGAGUAAUGGCUUGUAGCCUUGACCUUUGCCACCACCAACGUAGAUCGUAAUGGAUGACCAGGGUCUUUCAGCAGGAUGACAUAGCAUAGGGUGCUUGAAGAUGCUCUUUUAGUGAUACAUGAUUCAUUCCAGUGUGGUAUAGUUGAGGAGGAAGACUCCUGAAAGCAGGAACACAAACUUCAUUUCUCUCCACUCGCCCGAAUGUGACAGAUAAACUUAAGAAGUUUCUACUCAAUGAACGAUAUUUUAAACAAAAGGUAGUUUGCUUCAUGCAAAGAGUGCCUCAUGUCUUCCUGUAAUAAAUACAGAUGUGUGUAUUCUACUUUCUCUACCACAAGAUGGUGCUCAUCAGUAGUUUCAGCUGUGUGUAUGAAGAGAAACUGACCAAUCUAUGUUUGUUGUGUCUGGGAAUGUGUGAGCGUGAUACUGCAGGGAAUGUACAUGGUAUGAGUCUGAAGUCACUGAGAUCCAUUGCUAUUGUCCUACAACUACAGAUGUGUCCUUCAAGAAGCGUUCAGCUGCUGAAGAAACACUUCAGUGAAAGUGGCAUCUCCUCCCGUUUGUUUUUUGUCUAUUUCUUUGUCAAUCAAUUGUUGGUCAAGUUACCAGUGUAAUUAGUCGUUGACCUUUUCAUGUGUUUUAUUCAAGUUGACUUUCUUCUCACAUGCUUGCCCAGUGUUUGAUUGUCUUUCAUUCUUAUUUCCUAAAAUUAUUACUUCUGGACGCUGAUGUAGCCUUAGUUAUACAUGUAUAAUGAGUGACUAGUCAUUCUCCAUAUCCAGACUGUUGGCUGAUAUUAUUGUGAUCAUUGAGAGGAGUCUAGAUGUUCCAUGUAAGGUGCAGUAAUAUGUGUUGAUUCUACAAGCCCAAACCUGUCCUUUGUCUAUACUGAAGUUGAUUGUUUAUUUAUGGAUGGGCUUAUAUUACCAAAAAUCACUAGACUUGGCCUGUAGCCUCUGUAUGACGUUUGUAAAUGUCAUGUUUUAAAGUGGAACUGAUUGUUUUUGUUUUAAUCUGUUCAUCAUCCAUUUCUGUGGUACAACUGGAAAGUUCAGUAUGUUAUCGAAUAUUAGAAGUUUCAUGAGCUAAUACAUUUGUCAAAAUUUUAACAACUUGCUUGAUCAAUAACUGUGAAAUAUGGUUUACGUUUAUGACAUAACGUAGAUUUUCUUUGAUUGACCGAUCAGGUUUCAUGUUGAUGUGGUAAUCUAGCUAGUGGUUACUUUGUGGCUUUCCUAGCUGUGGGAUACAUAGUGUUAAGCCCUUUCUUCAUCUCGCUGGUGUAUCGCUAGAAGCUGCAUACAUCAUUACUCACUCACUCAUCACUGAAGGGCCAAUCCUAGCAGUCUCAGCAGAUUUAUGAAAUACUUUGUUUUUGAAUGAUACCCAUGCUUCUUUUACCUGCCUCUUACAACAUAGUAGGCCUUCCGGUACUUCCUGUAUGUCAGUUACAGCUAACAAAUAUGACAAUCUUCCACUGCUAUUUUGGCGAUGUUGCACAUGCUGCUGAUCAUGUGUGCUGAUGUUCUUGUUCUCCCUGACAAUGCUUAUAUAUCAGUUAUGCCAAAGUAUCAUAUGUAUAUUAAUUUUAUGACUCUAUAUUUGAUGUUAACAAAAGGAUAAUGUACAGUGAAUAACUGCCAUCUCAAGCAGAUGUCAUAUGUCGAAUCUGUAGCUUAGACCAACAGGAUAUCAAGGCAGGCUAUUUUAGAUUAAAAACUUCAUGAAACCUUUUUGCCAUUUCUGAUUACUGAACCUUUUGAGACCCAAAUUAAGACAAAUGGUUUAUCACAACACAGUUCAUGCUUGUAUCAUCCCAAUGGCACAUUUUCACCAUUUGAAUUACAGAUAUAUUCAUUUCCAUCAAAAUGAAAUAAGAGACAAGUUAAUUUUAAAGUCAUAUCUAGAGUAGAGUAAUGCCCCAGGCAUGUUCAUAGCUUACUGUCGUUCUGUGUACCUACUAUGAAAUAGUAUUUUCCAUUAUUCAAGAUAAAAAAGAUGAUCUAAUGGUUCUUAUAUUUAAAUGUAUGUCAGUGUAUUUUUAAACCAAGAUGUCAUAAUUUUCCCACCUGCAAGUGACUGAAAAGUGGAAGCUACAAAUACUUUUAUUUUUUAAUUAAUAUAUAUAUA